rnacentral:lncRNA from 1 species
CAAUUCAGUCAUAUCAAUAACUACUAUUUCCACUAAUAUAUUCACCCUUAUAAUCUUUAAUUGUAAUACUGCACCUUCACAGCUUUGAAUACACAAUUACCCUUGUUCCAAUCACUGGAAUUCUUCACACAGAAUUGCCAUUUAUAUUAUAGUGUUUCACACAAACACAGACUCAUUCUCUCUACUGAACUACAAUCAGAUUUCAGCAUUCAAUCUUUCUUCUUCUCAAAUAAUACAAAUCACAUUUUCAUUUCAUAAUUCACUUCACAAUAUUCAAAAACUCUCAAUCCUCUUAUUCAAAGAAAAUAACAAAUAAAAGAAAAGAGGUAGCACCAAGGUUACCCCAGCUAACAACUCUCAUAGUCUGGCAAUUUCUUCCCCUC